UUACUCUGGCGUCAUUGCACUAACGUGUAAAUCUUUCGCCUUUUACUAAAGAUUUCCGUGCAAAGGAGCAAUUUAAUGAGUCUAAAUUCAAAUUUUUUCAAGCCCUACUUUGUAGGGUAA